rnacentral:tRNA from 1 species
GCUGCUGUAGACUAAUUGGUUAGGUUGCCAGGUAAGUGCACCUCUCUUCAACCGAUCUUAGAUGUUGAAUGAAAACCUUGGAGAUGUCGGUUCAAUUCCGGCCAGCAGCU